AGCGAACGCUGGCGGCAGGCUUAACACAUGCAAGUCGAGCGGGCAUAGCAAUAUGUCAGCGGCAGACGGGUGAGUAACGCGUGGGAACGUACCUUUUGGUUCGGAACAACUGAGGGAAACUUCAGCUAAUACCGGAUAAGCCCUUACGGGGAAAGAUUUAUCGCCGAAAGAUCGGCCCGCGUCUGAUUAGCUAGUUGGUGAGGUAAUGGCUCACCAAGGCGACGAUCAGUAGCUGGUCUGAGAGGAUGAUCAGCCACAUUGGGACUGAGACACGGCCCAAACUCCUACGGGAGGCAGCAGUGGGGAAUAUUGGACAAUGGGCGCAAGCCUGAUCCAGCCAUGCUGCGUGAGUGAUGAAGGCCCUAGGGUUGUAAAGCUCUUUUGUGCGGGAAGAUAAUGACGGUACCGCAAGAAUAAGCCCCGGCUAACUUCGUG
rnacentral:rRNA from 1 species